rnacentral:rRNA from 1 species
GUAUAAGCAUUAUACAGCGAAACUGCGAAUGGCUCAUUAUAUAAGUUAUCGUUUAUUUGAUAGUACCUUACUACUUGGAUAACCGUGGUAAUUCUAGAGCUAAUACAUGCUAAAAAUCCCGACUUCGGAAGGGAUGUAUUUAUUAGAUUAAAAACCAAUGCCCUCUGGGCUCCUUGGUGAUUCAUGAUAACUUCUCGAAUCGCAUGGCCUUGCGCCGGCGAUGGUUCAUUCAAAUUUCUUCCCUAUCAACUUUCGAUGUUUGGGUAGUGGCCAAACAUGGUUGCAACGGGUAACGGAGGGUUAGGGCUCGACCCCGGAGAAGGAGCCUGAGAAACGGCUACUACAUCCAAGGAAGGCAGCAGGCGCGCAAAUUACCCAAUCCCGAUUCGGGGAGGUAGUGACAAUAAAUACUGAUACAGGGCUCUUUUGGGUCUUGUAAUUGGAAUGAGUACAAUUUAAAUCCCUUAACGAGGAACAAUUGGAGGGCAAGUCUGGGCCCACCAGCC